AAUAACAUUUGUAUCCACGUACAUCUUUCCCUGAUCGCCCAUCACUGGAUCUAAUAGCCAAAGUACCUUAGGAUGGUCUUUUUUGUAGGCAAGCACGCAAUCAAAUAUAACUUGGAUAAUAUCAUGAUUUGGUACAAACCCUGUGAGAAUUGCAUCGUAAACUAUUCCAUUAUCCUGUAAUAAAGCGUUUAAUAGAUCAUGAACCUCCUCUGGGAUGCAAGCGCUUCCUCGAGUAGCUCCAUAUCCUGUUCAUUCGGUUAGGUGAAAUUCAGAAUUUUUAAAAGCGUAUAUCGCAAAUUCUUUGCCCAAAAAGUUUUUGCAAUGUUUUUUUUGUCAGAUUUAGAAUAACUUUUCAACGCUUGGCUCGAUGGAAAUCUUUUUACUUACCAAGGUGAUUUGAAAAAUGUACCGUAGGUACGACAUCUACUUCCCAUUCAUGCAAUUGAAGUGGAAAUGUGGCAGAACGAUUCCCUACAUAUCCAUGGCUUACUGAAGACUGUUGGAAUUGUGAGCAAAGCACCCCUCAUUGACAAUUACAAACCUGAAUCGAUAAAACUCGUUUAUUACCGAUGAACUUGACAUUGGGAAAUGUCAUAGAGCUUAUUUAAAAGGUAGAAUUUUGUAAAAAUGAAAGAGAAUAUUGCCGAAGUGACUUGUGCUUUCGAUUUCUAAAGUUUUGAGAGAAGUUGAAAAAAGAAGUAAGUAAAGAAAUUGGCGAGCUGCUAAAAAAUUGAUUUACGAGAAUUUUAUGUAGACGAUAUUCAAGAAUAAUCUUUUCAAUUUUUUAUUUUAUUUUUUGAUUUGUUAAUACAAGUCUCGAUACAAGCAAACGCUUUCUAUGGUUGGAACGAUAUUGCACAUACAAAACUCAUGAAGUAUUGUUCAAUACAUUCAAUAAAGUUUUGAACCUUUUUUAAUGUAAAUUGUCCGACUUUUGGGCUUUUAGGACUGUUAGUAAAGCUUUUUUCACUAUUAAUAAUUUUGCUUUGAUUAACCUGAUAUUCUCACUAAUAAUUCCCUUUACAACAAAUUAAUUUCCACCAGUUGCGUUUAAUUUUUCUAAACUUCUUAUUCCUCAUGAUAAUCUUUACUUUUUUAUACAAGUUUAUUGAAACGUGCAGUUAAGCAUACGAAUAUAGCAAUCUUUCAUGACAUAUUGAAUUGCUUGGUCUUUAUUUUAUGCAAUUCUGAUUUUAAUAUGCACCUCCAAAAUGGUUUGUCGGAUUUUAAAGAUCAGCUUUGUUCAAGUACCAACAGUCGAAUAUCCUUGAUACAAAAUACUAGCAAACUAUUUAAAUAGUCUAAU